rnacentral:rRNA from 1 species
UACAGAGGUCCCAAGCGUUGUUCGGAUUCACUGGGCGUAAAGGGUGCGUAGGCGGUCGGGUAAGUCUGACGUGAAAUCUUCAAGCUCAACUUGGAAACUGCGUCGGAUACUAUUCGGCUCGAGGAAUGGAGGGGAGACUGGAAUACUUGGUGUAGCAGUGAAAUGCGUAGAUAUCAAGUGGAACACCAGUGGCGAAGGCGGGUCUCUGGACAUUUCCUGACGCUGAGGCACGAAAGCGAGGGGAGCAAACGGG